rnacentral:lncRNA from 1 species
GCUGAGGGGGCAACUGGGAGCACUGGGAGCAACUGGGGGGGCAACUGGGAGCGGCUGGGGGGCAACUGGGAGCACUGGGGGGCAACUGGUCCUUACUGGUCCUUACUGGUCCUUACUGGUCCUUACUGGUGUUACUGGUGCUACUGGUCCUUACUGGUGUUAUUGGUCCUUACUGGUGUUACUGGUGCUACUGGUCCUUACUGGUGCUACUGGUCCUUACUGGUCCUUACUGGUGUUGCCGGUGCCCGCUUGCAGCGCCGCCAGCAGCAGCCGCCACAACCCGGUGCAGCUGUGGGACGCCUACGACGGCCGCGUCAGGGGCAGCUUCCGGGCCCACAACCACCUGGUGAG